UUAGAAGAUCUUCUUGAUAAAGUAAUAUGUUAUGGUUGAAUCUUGAAAUCAAUGGAUGCUUUAGAUCAUCAAAGAAUUGAUCUCCGUAGAAUAAAUUUGAUUCAACACACUAUGGAACGUCCAUGGGGGUUCAAUAUAUAUACGAAAAAGUGUUUGGGAUGAAAAAAGAAUGGAAAAUCAGUGUUUUACUUAAACAGAGAUUUCUAGAUGUCAAUCGCCGAUCGAGCGCUAGGCGAUUGGUGCGCAUAUCCCUCAAGCGCCAGUCUCGCGUUGGCGAACAACAGAUGUUCUACUUUUGCCACUUGAGCAUCGGCUUGGUGGUAGGCUAGCGGAAACGAGUCCUCGAUAUCAACUUCUAUAAAUUUGAAUCUUGAUAUGCGUCUUGUAUUUCUUUGACUUCUUUUUGGACUUUGUCAACCCCAAACAGUACUUACCAUAACUUGGACUAUUGUAAACCUAUUUUGGCUUUGAUUACAAUAUAAUUAAAACAUAAUACUACUCUAAUAAAUUAAAAUUUUUGUCUUCAAAAAUUACCAAUUACAAAAUAGACUUUACAAUUUUGUUGCUUAGACAAACUUCGCUUAGAAUUCUAUUGUUGGUUAGUCAUAUUUGAUCUCUCCUACGGUUGAGUAUUAGAAACCCUAAUACUAUACCACCAAUAGCUAUGCAAUUGCAUUAAGGAGACAAGGACUAAAGAACAAACAAAAUCUAUAAAGGUUCAAUUCAAUGGGAGAUUACGUCCUCGUCCGUCACUACAAGUGCGAAAUUUAAAUUAUCAUUGAUGAAAUUUUGGUAUCCCUAAGAGAUGCGACCUCAUUGUUGAGGUCGAUUCACGUAUGGAUUCCGCACGUUGAUACUUUAACAUAAUGGUGCUUGCUAUUCUUGUUUAAGCUAAAGCAUAUUUACAAUUGAAUUGGUGGUCGAACUUUUGUUUAUUUGUAUUUGCAACCUCUAUUAGAGACACAACAUUUAUAUAUGUUAGAAACUAUAAAUCGAAUGAAAUUGAAAUAGAAACAAUGAAGAAAAUUGCCUACAAGGUUAAAAACAAUUGUUAAAAGAAAGAUUGCUAUAUUAAUUUUAAAAUAGCAAUACAAUCAAAAUAAUCAUGGAAAAUUAAGAAAAUAUUAUGAGGAUCACAUUCUUUUGAUUUCUUUAGUCUCUCUAAAACUCAAUAUUAAGACGCUAAGUGGACAGACUUUAUUUAUAAAUAUAAAUAUUAUGAGAAUAACACAUAUGUCACGUAAUUUAUAAAUAUAACAAUUGAAAUAUAUAAAUAUGAUAGGACCCUGACUACUGAGGCAUUAAACACAAAGGACUAUCACCAAGGAAAGCAAAAAAUCACGAUUCUGGUUAGCUAGGAAGGAGAUAACCUACCCCAACCAAGUGGAAAAAAACAAAAAGGAAGAAUCAAAAAACAAAAGACAAGACAAAAAAAGCAAGGGAAUAAGGACAAAAGAAACAGGAAAAAAAAAAAAAAAAAAAAAAGGCUCAUUAAGACUAAUAGGAACCUAUCAAAAAUCCCUUGUUGGGACCAAAUUAAUGGCAAAGAACCACAAAAUGGGCCAAACACAUUGAAGGUAAAAGGAAUACAAAUAUGGACCAUUUGC
rnacentral:lncRNA from 1 species